rnacentral:rRNA from 1 species
UACGAAGGGGCUAGCGUUGCUCGGAAUCACUGGGCGUAAAGGGUGCGUAGGCGGGUUUUAAGUCAGAGGUGAAAUCCUGGAGCUCAACUCCAGAACUGCCUUUGAUACUGAAAGUCUUGAGUAUGGGAGAGGUGAGUGGAACUGCGAGUGUAGAGGUGAAAUUCGUAGAUAUUCGCAAGAACACCAGUGGCGAAGGCGGCUCACUGGCCCGGUACUGACGCUGAGGCGCGAAAGCGUGGGGAGCAAACAGGG